rnacentral:sRNA from 1 species
UGGGGAGGCGAUGGAAAUGUGAGGACUGAAAAUUCCUCACUUUCCAGAAACUUUUCUGGAAUUAUGCUGUGCCAUUUUACAAUGCCCAACUCAAGAACAAGAUAAAUAAAAGCCUUUAGCUCCUAAAUACACCUGACACACAGGCCCAUUACCACUGUGGUGAAUGAACGAGGGUGAUUACGGGAUCCUCCCUCCCCAAGAACAGAUUUACCUUCUCAGUAGCUGUUGAGGUCAUUCAAUAGGAAAGAAGGCUAUUUGAGUCCCUAGCCUCUCUCCUUCUGCCCCAGAGAUGCUGCAGGUUCUACAGCUCAGCAGACACAGGUGGAGUGAGCUUGCAGGGCUGGGACAGACCUGCUGAGGAGGUGUACCUCGGUCCGGCAUCCUGUCUCUAACAAUCCUGGAAAGUGGAAGCUACCCACCGGAUGCUGUUCUCUGCGCUUGCACUUGUGGGCUCCUGGAGAGCAGCCUGUGCUCUGAUCACGAGGUAAUACAGGCAAAUGAGAGUCUGCCUGCCCACUUGUCUCCCAAAGUUUCUCAACUAACCCCAUCCCUACAAUCUCCCCCCACCCCACUCUGUCUCUCAAGACAGGCAGGCAGUGCUGGGGGCAAAGGUCACUUCCCUCAAGUCACCUCCUCAGUCAAGGAGUGAUCCAGAGGGACUCACAAAGACAUAAACAGCAACGUGGGAAGGGGCUAAGGGUCCACAAGCAGACACUUCCUGUACCCUUAUGCCAAUAAUUUACUAUGCCAUCCGAGGCCAGACGCUGUGCACACCUAGCGCUGUGCUGGUGGAAUACAGACACGCAGGGGAGAUGUCUAGCAGCUUUACAUAGCAGACAAAUUCAAAGGCAAAAAAAGCAAAGACAGUUUUUGAUGUAUUUUUCCUAAUGAUCUUAGAUCAAAGGAUCUGAAACCUUAUUAGUGACUUCUCCCAUGCUCUUGGAAACUUUUUGCAUAGAAAGUAGUUUUUAAAGAAUCUAAGACUAUAAAACACACUGCAGCUGGGCAUGAGACGGGCACACCGCCCUCUCAGCAUCUAGCUGAGGCAGGAGGAUCACAGACUGGACUACACGGUGAGCCCAUAUAAAAAGAGAAAAGCACCCCCCCCCCAAUCUAAAUUAUGAACGAACAGCCCGAGGACAGGAGGUGUGCUCCGGAACUGGACACACGGUGCCUGGGCCAGCGUCUGACUAAACGCUCUUUUCCACUCAAAAUCCAGGCGGGCCUCUUUAUUUUUUUUCAACAUAAAUGACGAGAUUGUCCUAAAAUUCAUCCGGAAAAAGAAUGGCAAGAAUGAGGACAAUUCUGAAGAGAGAGGCUAGAGCCACCGACCUGAGUCAACAGAGCAGUGAAGAGUCUGACUAGGCGGACAUCACAGGAAGAACACAAUGCAGGAGCAGUGACCCCAAACCAACAAACGCUCUCAGACAAUGAAGAAUAAACCAGGUCAGUGGGACGGAGAGAAUCACACAAACAGCUCUUAGAAGACAGCUAACUGAUAUGCAAAAAUCAGCUCAAGCCCUUCCUCACACCAAAAUGUAUCUACUGUGAAUUAGACAAACAUAAAACAAGUCACGACUACUCCAACCCCACAGCUUUUAGAAGAGGUGUCAACCCUACAGCUAGACCAGGACACUUACAACCACCAAUGACUGACGGACAACAGUUAAUUUGUAUGUUUCACAAGAAUCAAUUCUGGUGUUUGUUUUCCCAAAUAGGGUUUCUCUGUGUAGCCCUGGCUGUCCUGGAACUCACUCUGUAGAGCAGGCUGGCCUGGUCUCGGAGAUCUGUCUGCCUCUGUCUCCAGAGUACUGGGAUUAAAGGCGUGUUGCCACCGAAACCUUCUCACAAGAAUCAGAACUGAAAUAACCUCGAACUUUUUCACAUCCCCCCUCAACCAAAGAAAAUAUAAAUACAGAUUAAUAAAAUGUAUUAGAAAAACGUUAAGCCCUUAGGAUUUAAAUGAUCUAUUUCAUGUAAACAGAACUAUGAGCAGUCGGUAAAUGCAUGGCAAACAGUUUUCAUCUAUUAGGGCAACAGUAAUUUUUUUUUACAUAUUAUCUGUCUGCAUUUAGUGGACGGACACAUGUCAAGGGGCAAUUGUGAGGGUCAGAGGACAGCUUAAGAGUCAGUUCUCUCUUCCUGCUAUGUUGGUCCCAGGGAACAGAACCCAGGGGUGGCAGCCACUGUGCCAUCUUACCCGUCCGACUCCAGCGGCACAGAGAACAGUAAGUGCACUGUGUCGGGGCUUUGACAACAGAGCUGCGGACUUUGCUCACUGGCUGAGAAAAGUCUGCCACAGGCUCCAAGAGCUGCGUGGUGCUUCUGAGAACCCAUUCUAGAAAUGUAAUAACCAUGCAUGAGACAGUUCAUUCUGGGCUGAACUAUGACCUGUAACACAAAACUCAUUAUUCCUACAUGUACCUGGGUGUGUGCACAAAUCGGAGGACCGCCUACAGGAACCAGACCUUUCCUUCUACCUUGUGGGUCUCCCCAGGACAGAACUCAGAUCAACGGUCUCCGGAGCAAGUACCUCUGUCUACUGAGCCACAGUGCCAGCACCGUCCUGACCAUUUUCACACUCCAAAACACCAAAUGAAGGGACUGACUUGGGAGUAAUAUUUCACUGAGUAGCCUGAAGACUGUAAUCAACCUCUUAGGUUAAACUACAAAACACGCCUUCACACAGCAAAUGACUGAAGCUUUUAUAUGACCCAGCAGUGAACAAGCACAAUGGGACAGGUGUCUCACACUCAAGGGGACGCCACCCAUCGGGAAUCUGCAAUGGGUCAGAUGACUUCUUCCCUCUGAAGUCAGCUUAAGGAAUAGUUCUAAGACAUGCACGACGACAACAAAACGUUAUAAAUGAGUUCAGGGACGAGUUUGUUUGUGAUGCUUGGAAAACCCGAGAACCCAGAGAGGAGCAGUCAGCAGUGCCGAGACUGGCAAGGAGGUGAAACUGAUCUCAGCAGGUGGAGAGGCUCGGUAUACUCCAGAAAAAAGAGUGUGCGUAUCCUACAAAGCCAACCCUCUCUCUGCUACUUCCUCCCCAUGUGUGCCUAGGCUGGAACUCAGGGUCUUGCACAUGGUAGGCAAGUGCCCUCCUCUGAGAUAUUUAACACUUUAGUGGAACCCCAGUUCAAAUGUCAACAGUUCUUCUGCAGUAAGAUAACCAACUCAAGGUUCUAGCCUACAGCAGCUUUGAGGCUGCAAUUGCUUGAGUAGAGCACACAGCCACAAUUACAAGGAUGUGAGGAAUCAAGGUUCUCCCAUUUAAUAAGAGAUAAAACAGAAAAGCUAAGAAAAUGAAACACGGUAUAAAAUCUAAAUAGAAACAAUAAAUGAAUCACAAUUUAA